ACACGUAUCAUAAUAGCUUAGAUUUCUGUAAAAGUACAACAACAUCUGGCUAGAGAUAAUCAAUAUAAUUCAGUGAAUGAAGAAAAUAGUUGCUUCGAAUAACUUUUCCAACCAAGAAAGCAACUAUGUUUGUUUCAAAUCAGAUUCGUUGCAAACUACCAGCUAAAUCUUUUCAUACUUUAUGAAAUCUCAAAUUGGUCUUUGGAACAACUUUGCGGAAACACGUCCAGCAUUCUACCACGAGGGACGCUACGACCUAGCACACAUAUAACGUAAAAACUGUCGGAAAACCACUAAUCUGUGAAAAAAACUUUAAUCGUAUUAAUUGUAUUAUAGGAGUUGUCAAAUAAUGUAACAAUAAACUAUUUGCAAUUUA